rnacentral:rRNA from 1 species
CCCGGUGCCCAUACCCGUCUGGAAAUACCUGUUCCCAUCCCGAACACAGCAGUCAAGCAGACGGGGCCGAUGAUAGUCGCAAGGCGAAAGUAGGUCAGUGCCGGGU